rnacentral:piRNA from 1 species
AAUAAGAUUGGUAGACUGUUAAG